rnacentral:sRNA from 1 species
UGAUCCACGCGCAGCCACAAGAGGGACAA